CUCGAAGGUUGCCAUUGUGGCUCAAGACUUAGCAGCAUUUCAUAGUGCCUCAUCAGAAAUGGGACACCAGCAACAUGGGCACCACUUAGUGACUACAGAAAGUAGACCUGUUACAUUGUUGGCUACAUCCAAUGGAACACAAAUUGCAGUACAGCUGGGAGAACAACAGUCUCUGGAAGAAGCCAUUAGAAUAGCCUCCAGAAUACAACAGGGUGAAACACCAGGGAUUGAUGAUUAACUUCUAAAACUGCUACCAGAACAAUAGAGUGAAAGGUAUUUUAUUUUCAAUCAACAAAGGUCCAUGCCAGCAGCAACCCAUAAAAACUUUGAAGUUCCCCGCUCAUUGAUACUGUGUACACAUUUUAUGCAAGAGCGAAGAACAUUUUGUAAGUUUUGUGUACAUAACCCUUGGAAUGGACUGACAUCAUCUACUUUCAACCGUUGUAUAUUCAGGAAUAUGGAAUUAGGAUUAUAUAGUAAAUUUCCUUGUUAUCCUUUCACCAGACUUCAGACUGGUCUACAAGCAAGUGAAAAAAUUAAAUAGAAGUAUUGGAAUUAAUUUUUAAUGUCAUGUACAAAUAAUGAAGGCAUUACUGAAGAUUUCAAAUGUUUAAAAUACUAUUAAAAAUAAUCAUUUCAGGAACCCUUACAAAUAAUAAAGACAACAAAGCCUUUUAAAUUGCAUUCCGUAAAUGGAAAAGUCUUGGAUUUUGAGCCUACUGUAAAUCUUCAUAUUUUGAUUUGUUUCAUACAGAUUUGAAUACUCUUUAGAUUAUCCACCCCAUCUCAUUCAUUGUAAAUACAGACUGUUAAUGCUGGAAGUGCUAAUUAUAUUAUCUUUAAAUUGGAUUAUGUACAAAGGAGAAACUUUGGUUGUUCAAUAUUAAAGGAAGUAAAUCUAA